GGGUUCGAUUCCGGAGAGGGAGCCUGAGAAACGGCUACCACAUCCAAGGAAGGCAGCAGGCGCGCAAAUUACCCAAUCCCAAUACGGGGAGGUAGUGACAAUAAAUAACAAUAUGGGGCUCUUACGGGUCUCGUAAUUGGAAUGAGUACAAUUUAAAUCUCUUAACGAGGAACAAUUGGAGGGCAAGUCUGGUGCCAGCAGCCGCGGUAAUUCCAGCUCCAAUAGCGUAUAUUAAAGUUGUUGCAGUUAAAAAGCUCGUAGUUGAAUUUCGGAGUUUGUCGGUUGGUCGGGCUUCACUGUCCGCUCUGGCCUGAUGGAUUCCUACCUUCUGAAUAACCAGCAUGCUAUUAAGUUAGUGCGUUGGGGAAGCAGAGCUAUUACCUUGAAAAAAUUAGAGUGCUUAAAGCAGGCUUUUGCUUGAAUAGAUUAGCAUGGAAUAAUAAAAUAGGACGGCAUGGUUCUAUUUUGUUGGUUUCUAGGAUCACCGUAAUGAUUAAUAGGGAUAGUUGGGGGCAUUAGUAUUCAAUUGUCAGAGGUGAAAUUCUUGGAUUUAUUGAAGACUAACUUCUGCGAAAGCAUUUGCCAAGGAUGUUUUCAUUAAUCAAGAACGAAAGUUAGGGGAUCGAAGACGAUCAGAUACCGUCGUAGUCUUAACCAUAAACUAUGCCGACUAGGGAUCGGACGAUGUUAAUUUUUUAAUGACUCGUUCGGCGCCUUACGGGAAACCAAAGU
rnacentral:rRNA from 1 species